rnacentral:rRNA from 1 species
AUGCAAGUCGAGGGACCGGCGCACGGGUGAGUAACACGUAUCCAACCUUCCGUUUACUCAGGGAUAGCCUUUCGAAAGAAAGAUUAAUACCUGAUAGUAAACGAUGGGAUGCGUUCCAUUAGGUAGUAGGCGGGGUAACGGCCCACCUAGCCGACGAUGGAUAGGGGUUCUGAGAGGAAGGUCCCCCACAUUGGAACUGAGACACGGUCCAAACUCUACGGGAGGCAGCAGUGAGGAAUAUUGGUCAAUGGGCGAGAGCCUGAACCAGCCAAGUAGCGUGAAGGAUGAAGGUCUACGGAUUGUAAACUUCUUUUAUACGGGAAUAUGUACCGUAUGAAUAAGCAUCGGCUAACUCCGUGCCAGCAGCCGCGGUAAUACGGAGGGUGCGAGCGUUAUCCGGAUUUAUUGGGUUUAAAGGGAGCGCAGACGGGAGAUUAAGUCAGUUGUGAAAGUUUGCGGCUCAACCGUAAAAUUGCAGUUGAUACUGGUUUCCUUGAGUGCAGUUGAGGCAGGCGGA